AGCUCAAACUGGUCUAGGUGGUCUGCGUCAUCAGAGCUCUUCAUCUGGGUAGUCAUUAUUGCUUGAGGGGUAGUUUCGGUUUCCAUCAGGGGAUGCUCUGCUUCUAGGAUCUUUGCCUUAGUUAAAAGAUAACCUGGAAAGAAGAGCUUAAGGACAAAUGUGGGACAAAGGUUGGUGGGUACAAGCAGAUGAGCAGUAAAGGUCAGGUCUUGGGAUUCAGCUGGUGACAAAAACAUAUCUGAUGCUGGAGCUACAGCUACCAAUCUUUUUUUUUUUUCUAAUGUUUUUAUUUAGUUUUGAGAGAGAGAGAGAGAGACAGAGCAUGAGCAGAGGAGGGGCAGAGAGAGACACACACAGAAUCCGAAGCAGGCUCCAGGCUCUAAGCUGUCAGCACAGAGCUUUAUGCAAGGCUCGAACUCGUGAACUGCGAGAUCAUGACCUGAGCCCAAGUCGGAUGCUCAACCAACUGAGCCACCCAGGCACCCUGACAGCUACCAAUCUCUAAGUGCUGAUUGGACAAUCACCAAGGAAGGAUAUUUCAGGAAGGUCAUGUUUGAUUUUCAAGGCACUUUCACGGCAGAUUGAUUUUCAUUGCAGACUCCAGUGAAAUCACAUAGAUCGGUUCACCAACAACCUACGGAGCCUGAAGUCCUGUUCUUUGUAUCUACUUAAGACAUGAGGAUAGAUAAAAGGGAGUUAGGAAAACAGAGCGGAUGAAUGUGCCUGUUCUCUCAUGGCAGCCUCUGUUCUCGCUCCUCUCCAGCUGGGAAGUAGGAUUGAACACUACUGUUGAUUCCACCAAAGAAAAUCCACCCCAUCAACCAGUGUUGACAGGAUUUUUUUUACCACAAUACUCGGGAUUCGUUGUCUCGCUGCCUCAAAGAAUGAAGAGGUAGACACAAAAUAAGCAUCAGGGCAAAGUUUAUUAGAGUAUAAGAUCAGAAAGGAAGAAUAAUAGGAAAGCUCUCUUUACAGAGAGGGGACAUUCGAGGGUUGAAUACCCACGACUCUAGGCAAGGGUCCUCGUUUUACAAGGUUCUGAUCAGCCCUCCCCUCUCCCUUCCCCCUUGUUCCUUCUCAGGUUCUGCCCUUAUUGGCUAGAUGGUUCUAGGUGCUGGGUUGUCCAUUCUUGAUAGGCUGGUUUCCGGCAUAUGAGGGGUGGUGUGUGGGCACACUUAGGUCUUUUGUAAAAUUCCUGAGGGGAAAUCU